GGUAGAUUUAUAUUGUUCUCUGUCUCUAUAGGGUCCAGCUGGUAGAUUUAUAUUGUUCUCUGUCUCUAUAGGGUCCAGCUGGUAGAUUUAUAUUGUUCUCUGUCUCUAUAGGGUCCAGCUGGUGGAUUUAUAUUGUUCUCUGUCUCUAUAGGGUCCCUAUGGUCCAGCUGGUCUAAAGGGAGAUAUAGGCAUGCCAGGUAGACCGGGCCGUCCUGGGUUGAAUGGUGUCAAAGGAGAGAGGGGGGAUUCAGCAGGAGGGACUGGAGGAUAUGGAGGUCCUCCAGGACCACCUGGCCCACCCGACCCCCCGGGGCCAGCAGUACCUCUGGACAGGUUCACUGUGAGUAGAUGUCUGAUCCAGUAUUGUAUCUUUCCCAGACGUUGGUGUUGUGAGUUAUAUGCUGUAGUCAGUCAGGUUUGAUAGGGUCUCUUUCCAAGGUACAGUAGUGUAACUCUUCUCCCCUUUGUUCUGUUUCACACUCAGAGGGAUGAUGUAUCACGGUUAUAUCCUGACUCCAAAGGAGACAAAGGUGAUCGUGGAGUACCAGGAAUACCCGGGGUACCAGGUCUCACGUCCAACUUUGACAUCUACACCUUCAAGAGGGAGAUGAAGGGAGAGAGAGGAGACUCGGGGAUGAAGGGGGAGAAGGGCGAGCCAGCCGGAGGAUAUUAUGGUGGCGGUUACG